rnacentral:rRNA from 1 species
UACAGAGGGUGCUAGCGUUGUUCGGAAUUACUGGGCGUAAAGCGUGCGCAGGCGGUUUUGUAAGUCUGUCGUGAAAUCCCCGGGCUCAACCUGGGAAUUGCGAUGGAGACUGCAAGGCUAGAAUCUGGCAGAGGGGGGUAGAAUUCCACGUGUAGCAGUGAAAUGCGUAGAGAUGUGGAGGAACACCGAUGGCGAAGGCAGCCCCCUGGGUCAAGAUUGACGCUCAUGCACGAAAGCGUGGGGAGCAAACAGG